AGGAGCGUAGCUCAAUUGGCUAGAGCAGCGGUUUCCAAAACCGCAGGUUGGGGGUUCGAGUCCCUCCGCUCCUG
rnacentral:tRNA from 1 species